rnacentral:ncRNA from 1 species
AAAAAAGGGGAGCUUGUGAAGCAGGCUGAGAGGAAGUCAUCUAACUUCGACCCGUUGACCUGAUUUGGGUAAUGCCAACGUAGGGAUUGAUUUUU